rnacentral:rRNA from 1 species
AACGCGAAGAACCUUACCUGGCCUUGACAUGCAAGUAGUAGAAGGAUGAAAGUCUAACGAGGUAGCAAUACCAGCUUGCACAGGUGCUGCAUGGCUGUCGUCAGCUCGUGUCGUGAGAUGUUGGGUUAAGUCCCGCAACGAGCGCAACCCUUAUUGCCAGUUGCCACCGGGUCAAGCCGAGCACUCUGGCGAAACCGCCCUAGAUAAUGGGGAGGAAGGUGGGGAUGACGUCAAGUCCUCAUGGCCUUUAUGUCCAGGGCUACACACGUGCUACAAUGGUCGGUACAAACCGUCGCAAACCCGCGAGGGGGAGCUAAUCGGAAAAAGCCGGCCUCAGUUCGGAUUGGAGUCUGCAACCCGACUCCAUGAAGCUGGAAUCGCUAGUAAUCGCGGAUCAGAACGCCGCGGUGAAUACGUUCCCGGGCCUUGUACACACCGCUAGUC